ensembl:snRNA U6 U6 spliceosomal RNA
GUGCUCGCUUCAGCAGCACGUUUAGUAAAACUGCAACAAUACAGAGAAGAUUAGCAUGGCCUCCGGGCAAGGAUGACACACAAAUUCAUAAAGAAUCUGCCAAGGACA